UGUUUUGCAAGUGCUGUAUCUUUAUCAAAA
rnacentral:piRNA from 1 species